rnacentral:misc_RNA from 1 species
GAAAUGCGAUAAGUAAUGUGAAUUGCAGAAUUCAGUGAAUCAUCGAAUCUUUGAACGCACCUUGCACUCCUUGGUAUUCCGAGGAGUAUGCCUGUUUGAGUGUCUGACAUUCAUCAAUCCUCCUUUACUUUUGUAAUGGUUGGCUUGGAUUUGGGGAUUGCUGGCCUUUCAUUAGGUCUGGCUUCCCUUGAAUGCAUUAGUUGAAUUGACUUGCAACGCUAUGUGUGGUGUGAUAAUAUCUUCACUGCAUAGUUGUAAUGAAGUUUGGCUUAUAACUGUCUUUCAUUAGACAAUUUUGACCAUUAGACCUCAAAUCAGGUAGGACUACCCGCUGAACUUAA